rnacentral:lncRNA from 1 species
GCGUAUUAUCUGAUAAAGUCAUGCCGAUUAUAAGAUGCACAGUUUUCUGUGCUUUAAAAAGCUUUCUGUUUGAACCCGUCGACCUUGAACUUAUCAAUUAUUGGUAAUAUUAAUUAUUUGGAAAACAAAGUGCCUGGAAUGGAGUAUUUUUUAAUCAACAGCAUUGUCCUAAAUUAGUUAUUUGAUCUUUGAUUCGCUGUUUUACGUCAUGCCGGCUAACAAAUUGAAAACUGUACCUAUACGCCUUAAUUUAAGUCCAAAUUUUUAGUAUUCGUAUUGUCAUCUUAAAAAAUGUAGAAAGUCAUACUGAUUAAAAUACUACAAUAGGGAACAAUGUGACAAUGGUUGAAUUUAGUAGUGUCAACUCUGUGGUUAUGACCCGUGUAUAUAGCAAAAUCCUAAAUACACCGGAUGGUGGUGCGCCUGUUAGAUGCGGAACGUACAGAUAAGGUAAUAGGUAACAGGUGAAUAUACUAUUGGUAUCGGUAUCGGAUUCGACCCGGAACUUGUUAAUUAUUGGCAAUAUUAAUUAUGUGGCCUGCAAAAGGGUCUGGAGUGGUGUAAUUUUUAAUCAACACCAAUGUCCUAUAUUAGCUAUAUAUAAAGUUGAAUUCUUUGAUUUGCCGUUUUUACCUGAUGACGGCUGACAAAUUGGACCUCGUCAUUUUAGUAUUAUAGAUGUGUAGCAUAUAUUGGCAGUGGAAUAAAACAUUCAUUUCCCUUGGCUUCGAGAGAUAUGCAGAUUUGCUCACCCUCGAAAAUCAUAUUUCCCUCGGGGAAAGCCAUCGUGAAAUAUGAAUAUUCUUUUUGUGUAAACAAAUCUUCGUAUAUAAAGUUUAGAGAAGAUGGACGCCACACUUAAUAUUGAUUUAAUUGUUCAAUGACUAUAACUAAGCACAUUUAAUUAGACAGAGUACUCC